AGUUUGAUCAUGGCUCAGGAUUAACGCUGGCGGUAUGCCUAACACAUGCAAGUCGAACGGAAUACUAAUUAAGAGAAUCUCACACUAGUGAGAGGUUCUCACGAGUAGUAUUUAGUGGCGGACGGGUGAGUAACACGUUGGAACCUGCCCCGAAGUGGGGAAUAACUGCUCGAAAGAGUAGCUAAUGCCCCAUAGUAUCCGGUUUAUCCGGAUUAAAGAUUUAUCGCUUCGGGAGGGGCCUGCGUCUGAUUAGCUAGUUGGUGAGGUAAAAGCUCACCAAGGCGACGAUCAGUAGCUGGUUCGAGAGGAUGACCAGCCACACUGGGACUGAGAUACGGCCCAGACUCCUACGGGAGGCAGCAGUGAGGAAUCUUCCACAAUGGGCGCAAGCCUGAUGGAGCAAUACCGCGUGCAGGAAGACGCUUUUCGGAGUGUAAACUGCUUUUGUCGUCGAAGAUUAUGACUGUAGACGAAGAAUAAGGACCGGCUAACUACGUG
rnacentral:rRNA from 1 species